AAUUUUCGACAAUGGGGGGAACCCUGAUCGAGCCAUCCCGCGUGUGGGACGAAGGCCUUCGGUUUGUAAACCACUUUUCUCAACGAAGAAAAGUCCUAGGCUAAUACCUUAAGAUGCUGCCGGUAGUUGAGGAACAGGCACCGGCUAACUAGUUGCCAGCAGCCGCGGUAAUACAUAGGGUGCAAGCGUUAAUCGGAAUUACUGGGCGUAAAGGGUGCGCAGGCGGCUUGGAAAGAACGGUGUGAAAUCCCGGGGCUCAACCUCGGAACUGCACUAUUAACUAUCAAGCUAGAGUAUGUCAGAGGGGGGUGGAAUUCCGCGUGUAGCAGUGAAAUGCGUAGAUAUGCGGAGGAACACCAAUGGCGAAGGCAGCCCCCUGGGAUAAUACUGACGCUCAGGCACGAAAGCGUGGGUAGCAAA
rnacentral:rRNA from 1 species